rnacentral:lncRNA from 1 species
CCCUCUCUCAGAUUUUUCAUGCCAAAAAUCACUUCUAAUCUCACACAAAAUUGAUCCUCUUUUAAGGUUGGCAUUCCAUGGAAGAUAAGGAUAAGAAUAAGGUAGUUUCGGUUCAAAUCCAAGUGUUGGUUGAUCCUUAUUACCAAUUCAAAUUAAAUUUGAAUUAAAUUUUAAACCAAACUUUAUUUUUAUCUUAUAAACAUAGAGAGGGAUCGACCAAUAUCAGAAUGGUAUAAAAAAUCUCAUGCAAAAAUACUUUAUGCAUGGAGAAAUGUGGUGGCAUG